UACGUAGGGACCGAGCGUUGUCCGGAAUCAUUGGGCGUAAAGAGCGUGUAGGCGGCUCGCUAAGUCUUGCGUGAAAUCUCGGGGCUCAACCCCGAGCGGUCGUGAGAAACUGGCAGGCUAGAGUGCGGGAGAGGAGAGUGGAAUUCCUGGUGUAGCGGUGAAAUGCGCAGAUAUCAGGAAGAACACCCGUGGCGAAGGCGGCUCUCUGGAACGCAA
rnacentral:rRNA from 1 species